rnacentral:rRNA from 1 species
CAGUCGCCGCGGGAAUACGUAGGUGGCAAGCGUUGUCCGGAAUUAUUGGGCGUAAAGGGCUCGCAGGCGGUUUCUUAAGUCUGAUGUGAAAGCCCCCGGCUCAACCGGGGAGGGUCAUUGGAAACUGGGAAACUUGAGUGCAGAAGAGGAGAGUGGAAUUCCACGUGUAGCGGUGAAAUGCGUAGAGAUGUGGAGGAACACCGGUGGCGAAGGCGACUCUCUGGUCUGUAACUGACGCUGAGGAGCGAAAGCGUGGGGAGCGAACAGGAUUAGAUACCCCCGUAGUCCCUGUCUCUUAUAC